rnacentral:rRNA from 1 species
AACGGAGGGUGCAAGCGUUAUCCGGAUUCACUGGGUUUAAAGGGAGCGUAGGUGGGUUGGUAAGUCAGUGGUGAAAUCCCUAAGCUUAACUUGGGAACUGCCAUUGAUACUAUUAAUCUUGAAUACCGUGGAGGUCAGCGGAAUAUGUCAUGUAGCGGUGAAAUGCUUAGAUAUGACAUAGAACACCAAUUGCGAAGGCAGCUGGCUACACGAAUAUUGACACUGAGGCUCGAAAGCGUGGGGAUCAAGCAGG